rnacentral:rRNA from 1 species
UACGUAGGGUGCAAGCGUUAAUCGGAUUUAUUGGGCGUAAAGGGCGCGUAGACGGGAAGAUAAGUCAGAUGUGAAAUCCCGGGGCUCAACCCCGGAACAGCAUUUGAAACUGUCUUUCUAGGGGAUGGACGGAGAAAACGGAAUUCCACAAGUAGCGGUGAAAUGCGUAGAUAUGUGGAAGAACACCAGUGGCGAAGGCGGUUUUCUAGUUUAUUCCUGACGUUGAGGCGCGAAAGAUAGGGGAGCAAACAGG